ensembl:lncRNA
UUGUAGGUUUUGGAUAUUCUUUCCCAGUGAUGGAAAAGACGAGCAGUACAGUCACAUUAAGCAUAUGCUCUACCACUGAGCUCCUCCCCCAACACAAGGACUGGAAAAUUUGAUCAUCCUUUGGAUCUCAUUAUGUAGUACAGACUGGCCUUGGAGUUGCAAUCCUUCGGCCUCAACUUCCUGAGGACUAGAAUUACAGAAUCAGGCAUUGUUAGAGUUCUGUAUCAUCUUUCAUAUAUCAAGAUCACCACACUGAUGCUGUAUCUGAAGCUGUACCAAGGUGUUAUCCUUGGUGCUAAGACAAUGAAUUAAGCUUGGGGUCAUCUGAAAACUUUUAAGUGUUCAUAGGAUGAAUGAUUGCUGUAAUAUCACAAGAUGCCCAGAGAUAACAAGAGAAAGGUUUCCCAGUCUGAUGAAGAAGGCAGAUCUGAAACACAAUACAAGUGCAAUAGCAGAAAGAAUGCAUAAAUUAACAUUUGGCAAGGAGGAUGGAGAGUAACUUGCUGGAAAAGGCUGAUGAAGAAAAGACAUAAAGUAGGCCUUACAGGAUAAGAAUAUCAUUUCCAGGUGGAAAAAAUAUGUGAUGGAGAAAAGACAUUGAAGGACAGUGUAAGCAGAAGGAACAGCAGGACCAUAAGGAAGAUCAUUUUGAGAAUCAGGAAUGCUAAAGGUUUAAAUUAUUCCAGACGGUGACAGCAAAAUCACUGAGAAGUUUGCAAUAUUGAAGAACAGAAGAAAACAUUUUUAACAAAAUAUUGUGAAAUACCCCAGAAUGAAAAGAUUAGGUGCUGCUACAGUCUUCCAUGGGGCAACAUGUGCAGAGAUCACUGAUGUGGCUAUUCUGACAGCUACCUAGCCAUUCUCACGAAGCAGGGUUACCUGGCUGGAUGACACGCAGAGAUGUGGCCCGACUUCUCAAGAGAAGCUUUCCUUCACACUUCUUACCGUACCCUUAAUUGGAAGCUCCUAAAGAUGAUGCUGAAGCCAAGUGUAUCUUCUCCUGUCUCCAUUCUCAUGCCCUGGGGCCACCUUGGUUAAUGGGUCUUUCGGAUUUCUUCCCUGAGGUGGUUACAGCUUCUGGAUUUGUUUGAAAAAUCUUAGAUCCUCUUUCUGACUCUGCUAUUAUUAUGGGGUUCCCCCCAUCAGCCAGAAACUGCAUUUGACUCAAGCUCUUAGAAUUUCAUAGUUUUGAAAGUCCUUAAAGGUCAUCAAGUCUAACAUCUCCAUCCUACUCACCUUCUGAUAUUUGAAUCUUCUCUGUACCAGAAGAAGUAUCUCAAGUGCCUUUCUAACUUUUGUUUGAAUGCCUCCAAUGACAAGGAACUUACUACUUCACAAGCAUCUCAUUUCAUCUGCCUAUGAAGUUUCUUAUUCUACUGAAUUGUCGUCUAAAUCCUGGCUUCUACCUACUGAAAGAGACAGUUCAUCACUGAAGAAGAAAUCAAGUCAAAUUGGCUAGCAGGAAGAAACUCUUUGGGAAUCCUUAGCUUCAUUAGAAGUACACUUUUGUUCAAAUGAAGUGUUAAAAUUAAAGCAGUAUAUAUCUGAGUGGGGCCAAUUGGCAUGAACUCAUCACAGCAUAUGGUGUGCUUCCUUUUAUAUGCAUGUUUAGCAGCUAGUGGGUACCAAACCUCGCACAGCUCUCAAUUGCUAGCACUAAUGAAGGAUCUGUUUGCCUUUGGGGAUAAAGAUGGUAUCACUGAUUCACAGUUGUUUUUCCAGGAGUGAAGAACAGAUUUUACUUCCUCAUUCAAACUCUUGCUUGGUCCUUUCCCUUCCCCACUACCACUGUCCUAAUUCAGGCACCAUUCUCUCUUGCCAGGAUUGUUCACUUGCCUCUACCUGGCCUUCCAGCUUCCAGUUCUGGCCCUCUCUGGUCUAAGGUAACAUUGCCAGGGGAAUCUUAAUGUCACAGAUUUGAGGUAUCACUUCUGGAUCAAAAUGCUUCAGUGACUCCUCUUAGCUCCAGCAUGGAGUCUAAAUUUCUUAGCAUGGCAAAUAGGUAGGGAAAAGUCAGAGGGUCACAUGUGGACUAGGAUAAGGUUAAUUGUUCUCAAUCAGGAACAACUGAGGCUCCAAAGUCGUAUAGUGCCUUCUAGAACAAUAGGUCAUAUAUGUAUAACUGCAAAUUACACAAUUAAUUUACUGACAAACUUUAACCUCUACUUGGUAGGAGAAAAAGAUUCUGUCAAUAUAGCUGUCACUAGCACCACUACUACUAAUAACAAUAUCAAAUAUUUUUUAUAGCACUUAAGAACAGCAUUUCAUCUAAUCUAUAUGACAGUGUGAUGGCAUGGACCUGGCUGUGUCACUAGCAUGGUCCUGAGCAUGAGCACCUUCUUAAAUUCUGUACCCUAGUGGCUCACUCUAGUCCCAGACCCAUGUGUCAGUGAUGUGUGGAGCAGGUUUUAGGGGGACACGAUGGGAGAAUCUUAGAUGGAGAGGCUUGUCUGAGCACAGGUCCAGCUUUAGGACUGACAG